GACGAACGCUGGCGGCGUGCCUAAUACAUGCAAGUAGAACGGAGGUGCGAACGGGUGAGUAACGCGUAGGUAACGGCCUCAAAGCGGGGGAUAACUAAUGGAAACGAUAGCUAAUACCGCAUACAGUGAGAUGGAACGGCGUUGUAUUAGCUAGUUGGUGAGGUAAAGGCUCACCAAGGCGACGAUACAUAGCCGACCUGAGAGGGUGAUCGUCCACACUGGAACUGAGACACUGCCCAGACUCCUACGGGAGGCAGCAGUAGGGAAUCUUCGGCAAUGGACGGAAGUCUGACCGAGCAACGCCGCGUGAGUGAAGAAGGUUUUCGGAUCGUAAAGCUCUGUUGUUAGAGAAGCGUUACCUAACCAGAAAGGGACGGCUAACUACGUGCCAGCAGCCGCGGUAUUC
rnacentral:rRNA from 1 species